AGUCUGUGCCUGUGGAUGCAACCUCUCUCAAGCCGUUGGCCAUCUGUUGAAAGGAAGGAGAUCAUGCCUUCUUAAUACUUCCCGCCCGGGAGAAUCCCAUGGAGGACUCUGAGACCCUGGAGAUGGCAGAGGCAUUAGAGGGAGGAAACCUGUGCCCCUGAACGACUGCAUGGAAAAGACCACUCUUAACAAUGUGCUGAUGUACACUGAGCUAUGUAAUGAGCAGCAAAUAAAUCUUUAUGCUGUUAAGCUACUGAGA